rnacentral:rRNA from 1 species
CACGUAGGCACCAAGCGUUGUCCGGAUUUAUUGGGCGUAAAGAGCUCGUAGGCGGUUCAGUAAGUCAGGUGUGAAAUCUUUGGGCUUAACCCAAAGCGUGCACUUGAUACUGCUGUGACUUGAGUUCGGUAGGGGAGUGGGGAAUUCCUAGUGUAGCGGUGAAAUGCGCAGAUAUUAGGAGGAAACACCGGUGGCGAAGGCGCCACUCUGGGGCCGAAACUGACGCUGAGGAGCGAAAAGCGUGGGUAGCAAACAGG